GAUUAGCUCAGCUGGGAGAGCAUCUGCCUUACAAGCAGAGGGUCGGCGGUUCGAUCCCGUCAUCACCCACCA
rnacentral:tRNA from 1 species